rnacentral:lncRNA from 1 species
AGGGGACCUGUAAUGGGAUGCUGAUUCUGUCGUGUCCAUGUUGCUGGCUUUCCUCCCCAGGUUGACCAUGAACAAAACCUGCCCCGAUCUCCGCACCCAGGUUUAGGGGCUCCUGGAAGAAGUCCCCCCCGCCCCCACCCGGCCCCUCCCUGUGGUGCAGGCGCAGAGCCGCGGGCGGCUGCUCUGGAAAGCUCCGGGCUCUGCUGAGCCGCUGCUUCCUCCUCCUCCUCAUGCAAUAAAGAUCAAUUUGUCUGGGAGCCACUUCUUUUUGAUGAGAGACCGUUUCUGGGAGAGGUCUCGGGCUUCAAGGAGCACAUACAAGUACCCAAGAAAGUCUCCCACGGGGGGCGGGUAUUGAGGACCUCAGCUGCCAGAGGCUGUGGCAGCGCCGCCGGCCCUGGAGACACCAGGUGAGUGCUGGGAGCCGGGCAGCAGACACGGUGGGCGGCGCGGAGGAGGAGGGCUCCUGAGGGGCUACUGAGCCAAGAGACAGAAACGAAAUAUCAAGGGGCUCCCACUGCUCCCUGUGACGGUGGGGACGGGUGUGCACACGUCACCCGCUGUUGGGUGGAAGAGCAGCCUCUGAGCCCAAAGACCCUCCCAGGUGUGGACCUGCCUGUUGGCAAGAUGCUCCCGGUGUAAACCUGCACGUUCCCAAGAUGCCCCGUGGAGCAGCCGGGGUUGCACAA